UCCCAGCUCCUACGGGAGGCAGCAGUCGGGAAUAUUGCGCAAUGGAGGAAGCUCUGACGCAGUGACGCCGCGUAUAGGAAGAAGGUUUUCGGAUUGUAAACUAUUGUCGUUAGGGAAGAUAAAAGACUGUACCUAAGGAGGAAGCCCCGGCUAACUAUGUGCCAGCAGCCGCGGUAAUACAUAGGGGGCAAGCGUUAUCCGGAAUUAUUGGGUGUAAAGGGUGCGUAGACGGAAGAACAAGUUGGUUGUGAAAUCCCUCGGCUCAACUGAGGAACUGCAACCAAAACUAUUCUCCUUGAGUGUCGGAGAGGAAAGUGGAAUUCCUAGUGUAGCGGUGAAAUGCGUAGAUAUUAGGAGGAACACCAGUGGCGAAGGCGGCUUACUGGACUGUAACUGACGUUGAGGCUCGAAAGCGUGGGGAGCAAACAGGAUUAGAUACCCGCGUAAG
rnacentral:rRNA from 1 species